GAUGAACGCUGGCGGCGUGCCUAAUACAUGCAAGUCGAGCGAACAGACGAGGAGCUUGCUCCUCUGACGUUAGCGGCGGACGGGUGAGUAACACGUGGAUAACCUACCUAUAAGACUGGGAUAACUUCGGGAAACCGGAGCUAAUACCGGAUAAUAUAUUGAACCGCAUGGUUCAAUAGUGAAAGACGGUUUUGCUGUCACUUAUAGAUGGAUCCGCGCCGCAUUAGCUAGUUGGUAAGGUAACGGCUUACCAAGGCGACGAUGCGUAGCCGACCUGAGAGGGUGAUCGGCCACACUGGAACUGAGACACGGUCCAGACUCCUACGGGAGGCAGCAGGAGGGAAUCUUCCGCAAUGGGCGAAAGCCUGACGGAGCACGCCGCGUGAGUGAUGAAGGUCUUCGGAUCGUAAAACUCUGUUAUUAGGGAAGAACAAAUGUGUAAGUAACUAUGCACGUCUUGACGGUACCUAAUCAGAAAGCCACGGCUAACUACGUG
rnacentral:rRNA from 1 species